GACGAACGCUGGCGGCGUGCUUAACACAUGCAAGUCGAACGCUGAAGCUCAGCUUUUGUUGGGUGGAUGAGUGGCGAACGGGUGAGUAACACGUGAGUAACCUGCCCCCUUCUUUGGGAUAACGCCCGGAAACGGGUGCUAAUACUGGAUAUUCACUGGUCUUCGCAUGGGGGUUGGUGGAAAGGGUUUUUCUGGUGGGGGAUGGGCUCGCGGCCUAUCAGCUUGUUGGUGGGGUGAUGGCCUACCAAGGCUUUGACGGGUAGCCGGCCUGAGAGGGUGACCGGUCACAUUGGGACUGAGAUCCGGCCCAGACUCCUACGGGAGGCAGCAGUGGGGAAUAAUGCACAAUGGGCGCAAGCCUGAUGCAGCGACGCCGCGUGAGGGAUGGAGGCCUUCGGGUUGUGAACCUCUUUCGCUCAUGGUCAAGCCGCAACAAUGGUUGUGGUGAGGGUAGUGGGUAAAGAAGCGCCGGCUAACUACGUG
rnacentral:rRNA from 1 species